UUUCCGUAGGUGAACCUGCGGAAGGAUCAUUAUUGAAUAACCGAAGUGCAAGGGCUGUCGCUGACCCGUAGGGUCGUGCACGCUCGAGCGCUCUCACACACAUCCAUCUCACCCCGAUGUGCACCACCGCGUGGGUCCCCCUUUGGCGUGUUCGGAGUGGGGCUUAUGUUUUCCAACAAACUUUGUAUGUAGUGUAGAAUGUAUUUUUUUGUGUUGCGAGCACUCAAUCAAUACAACUUUCAACAACGGAUCUCUUGGUUCUC
rnacentral:misc_RNA from 1 species